CCGAAGGGUCGCUAGGGUUCCGGUCGCGCUGCGCGCGAUGUCUGGUCCAAGAGCAACCGGCCUCAGGCGCGCUCGACCGCGUCCAGGCUCCACGGCGGGACAAAAGCCCGGGAGGU
rnacentral:sRNA from 20 species